ACGGCAGCACGGGCUUCGGCCUGGUGGCGAGUGGCGAACGGGUGAGUAAUGCAUCGGAACGUACCGUGUAGUGGGGGAUAACGUAGCGAAAGUUACGCUAAUACCGCAUACGCCCCGAGGGGGAAAGUGGGGGACCGCAAGGCCUCACGCUAUAUGAGCGGCCGAUGUCGGAUUAGCUAGUUGGUAGGGUAAAGGCCUACCAAGGCGACGAUCCGUAGCGGGUCUGAGAGGAUGAUCCGCCACACUGGGACUGAGACACGGCCCAGACUCCUACGGGAGGCAGCAGUGGGGAAUUUUGGACAAUGGGCGCAAGCCUGAUCCAGCCAUGCCGCGUGAGUGAAGAAGGCCUUCGGGUUGUAAAGCUCUUUCAGACGGAAAGAAAUCUCCCGGGAUAAUACCUCGGGAGGAUGACGGUACCGUAAGAAGAAGCACCGGCUAACUACGUGCCAGCAGCCGCGGUAAUACGUAGGGUGCGAGCGUUAAUCGGAAUUACUGGGCGUAAAGCGUGCGCAGGCGGUGAUGUAAGACAGAUGUGAAAUCCCCGGGCUCAACCUGGGAACUGCGUUUGUGACUGCAUCACUCGAGUACGGCAGAGGGAGGUGGAAUUCCGCGUGUAGCAGUGAAAUGCGUAGAGAUGCGGAGGAACACCGAUGGCGAAGGCAGCCUCCUGGGCCAGUACUGACGCUCAUGCACGAAAGCGUGGGGAGCAAACAGGAUUAAAUACCCUGGUAGUCCACGCCCUAAACGAUGUCAACUAGUUGUUCGGUGAGGAGACUCAUUGAGUAACGCAGCUAACGCGUGAAG
rnacentral:rRNA from 1 species